CUUAGGCUGAGGAGUGACCAGAGACUUGACUCUUUGAAAGGAUGCCCAGAAGAGGGAGGCAAUCAUCGGUGGAAAGAAGCUCCCAUCAAUGCAGAGAGGAGUGGUGGGAUGUGACCCAUCUUCUGGGAGCGUGAGGCAGAGACGAAGUGAGGAACUGAGGUGGUUUGAUCACGCUGGUCGGUGAGGGGCAGAGGAGGGACCUGCGAGGAUGAGGCUGACUCAGAAAGACAGGAGACCAGGACAGCAAAAUCCUAACCGUGAGCACCAGAAGGCUGCGUCUGGUCUUAGUUGUGGCAAGUGGGAUCUUCGUUGGGGCAUGCAGGAUCUUUUAGUUGCAGCACGCAGACUCUUAGUUGCCGCAUGCAAACUCUUAGUUGCGGCAUGCAUGUGGGAUCUAGUUCCCUGACCAGGGA